AGAAAAUAUUCCACCAAGAUUACAUAUGAAGACUACAUUCUAUGACAGGUGCGUUGACCUAUACACAUGGUGUCGUUAUCACAGUUCAUAUUCAUCUGCUGCACAAUAAUUUUUUACAGAUCAGACGUGACCCGUCGAGUAAUUGGUCCACGUGCAGUUCGUUUUUUUUUUUUACAUUCCGUGGAAGCUUGGUUGCAGAACCUCGGA